rnacentral:rRNA from 1 species
AUUGAACGCUGGCGGCAGGCCUAACACAUGCAAGUCGAGCGGAUGACGGGAGCUUGCUCCUUGAUUCAGCGGCGGACGGGUGAGUAAUGCCUAGGAAUCUGCCUGGUAGUGGGGGACAACGUUUCGAAAGGAACGCUAAUACCGCAUACGUCCUACGGGAGAAAGCAGGGGACCUUCGGGCCUUGCGCUAUCAGAUGAGCCUAGGUCGGAUUAGCUAGUUGGUGGGGUAAUGGCUCACCAAGGCGACGAUCCGUAACUGGUCUGAGAGGAUGAUCAGUCACACUGGAACUGGGACACGGUCCAGACUACUACGGGAGGCAGCAGUGGGGAAUAUUGGAAAAUGGGCGAAAGCCUGAUCCCGCCAUGCCGCGUGUGUGAAGAAGGUCUUCGGAUUGUAAAGCACUUUAAGUUGGGAGGAAGGGCAGUAAGCUAAUACCUUGCUGUUUUGACGUUACCGACAGAAUAAGCACCGGCUAACUCUGUGCCAGCCGCCGCCGUAACAC